UACGUAGGGGGCAAGCGUUAUCCGGAAUUACUGGGCGUAAAGCGCACGCAGGCGGUUCGCCAAGUUUGGAGUGACAGUUGUCGGCUCAACCGACAAAGGACUUCAAAAACUGGUGAACUUGAGGACGAGAGAGGAACAUGGAACUCCAGGUGUAGUAGUGAAAUGCGUAGAUAUCUGGAAGAACACCAAUGGCGAAGGCAAUGUUCUGGCUCGUUUCUGACGCUCAGGUGCGAAAGCCAGGGGAGCGAACGGAG
rnacentral:rRNA from 1 species